rnacentral:misc_RNA from 1 species
GCAAGGAUGGACUGCCAGAUGCUGGUGAGAUUGGCACUUCUGUAUUUUCUUUUUAUUUGCAUAAGAGCAACUUUGUUUUGUGAACUAUUUAUGCUACUUCUUAAGGGUGAAACUCUUAUGCUUUCUGCAAUAAGAAUACAAGGAUAGGGCUCAUGGCUCUAGGGGCGUUCAUAGUUGGACCAUAAACAGCCAGAGCACCUUGUUCUGUCCUUCGCUCAAAUUAUAUAAUGACACAUUUUGUGACUGUUAGAAGUCAUACAUAAAAACCCUUUAAAUUCAAUUUUUGGCUCUCUCAAUUUCUGUAUUGUACAGCAUAGGUAGGAUUUUAUGUCCUUGUACAGUAUUUAUAGAAUUUAAGCCUGGUAACCUUGCUAAUAUUACUAAUAUUGGCCAUUGCAUUUAGAGCCUAUGUAGCUUUUCAUGAUAUGGUAAACGUUUGACCCUACCAUCCAUAUGAAAUUAAAACCAGUUUUGUUGCUGCUUACAAAGUGAAACUGGAGUUUUUUUUUACCUAUUGAAGUAGAUCUAAUCUCAGACCAAAAAAAAAAAAAGUAGUUCUAAUGACUUCAUGUCACCUUUUAGACAAAUGGCACUGAGCUUGGGAACAAAGUGACUUUUUCUUCUAUAAAUGAGCUGUAAAUGUCUUCUUCAGUGUCCUUGUUUAAAAG